rnacentral:rRNA from 1 species
GACGAACGCUGGCGGCAGGCCUAACACAUGCAAGUCGAACGAGUGGCGGACGGGUGAGUAAUGUCUGGGAACCUGCCCGAUGGAGGGGGAUAACUACUGGAAACGGUAGCUAAUACCGCAUACCAUCGGAUGAUCCCAGUUGGGAUUAGCUAGUAGGUGGGGUAACGGUUCACCUAGGCGACGAUCCCUAGCUGGUCUGAGAGGAUGAUCAGCCACACGGGAACUGUGACACGGUCCAGACUCCUACGGGAGGCAGCAGUGGGGAAUAUUGCACAAUGGGCGCAAGCCUGAGGCAGCCGUGCCGCGUGUAUGAAGAAGGCCUUCGGGUUGUAAAGUACUUUCAGCGAGGAGGCGUUACUCGCAGAAGAAGCACCGGCUAACUCCGUGCCAGCAGCCGCGGUAAUUC